UCUCACACUGUUUAACCUGCCACCAUUGUUGGAAAACGUUAAGCGUUUCCAACGACAAAGUCAAAACAUGUCGAAUUUCUUUCCAGGAAGGAAACAUCUUCACAGACGAUAUACCGCAGGCAGAACUUUACAUUCUUGGACAUGUUCUGCAUUAGUGGAAGGAAGACAAGAUCGAUCUCUUGUUAAGCAAGCUCUCUCACAGAUGCAAACCAGGAUGUGGACUUCUCCUGACUGAGAUUGUGCUGUAUGAUCGGAAGACCAAACCCUGCAGAGCCCUCCUGCAGAACCUCGGCUUGAUGAUGGAGAGUGAAGGGAAGGAGAGGAGUGGGUCCGAGUACAGGAAACUCCUACAUAACCACGGCUUCACAAACGUGCACAUCAAACACACAGGAACUUUUCUGGAUGUCAUUUUUUGCACAAAGCAGAAAUUCUUCUCACAGAAACUAGUUAGUGGUUUAAUACAAAGGAA